UUUCUAAUUUAUUCAAUCCUUAUCAAGGAUUCAACUCUAUAUUCAUAGUUUAUUCUUAUUCUAAAUUUUAUACACUUUUUUAUUCAAUUGAAGUAAAAUCCACAUGACAUAAAAAGAAGCUAUUUUUAAAUAAAUUAUUUACUUGACAUAAAUACAUGCGCAAAUUAGAAAUGUUAUUUGAACUUUUUUCCUUUCAUUAGAAGUCUUUUUAAUAGAUCAAAUUGUCUUUUCACUAUUUUUUUAAUUUUUAAAACUUAAAAUUUAUUUAAAUUUAAUAAUUAGACCUUUCCUAAUCUGAAUUAUAUACCUUAAAUUUAGGAUUUUAAAAUAAUCUCGAAAAAAAAUAAUCCACGUACAUUUAGUCCCCAGAAAAAAGAGAAGAAAUCAAUUACUAAGAAAUUACCUAAUUUCUUUAGAACACUUGCCAAAAAUUGUCUUCUAUUUUAGUCAAAAUCAAAUUCUACCCUUUAAAUGUUUUUUAAGUUUAUGAAUGUUUUUAUUUGUCUAUUUCAAAAAUUUUAUAAAAAGAGUUAUAAUUUCACCUUAAAUUUAGGACUUCAAAUACCAACACUCACCCCCACACCCCACACCCCAAAAAAACAUGUACAAAGCUUAAAGAAAAGGGAAGAAAAAAAUUACUAAGAAAUUACAUGAUUCCUUUAGAAAUCUUGCCAAAAUUGUCUCCUACUUUUAAUCUAAAUCAAAAAUCACCCUUUAAUUUUUUUGGUUUAUGAAUUCCUUGAUUUGUCUAUUGCAAAAUUUCUAUAAAAGGAAUUGGAAUUUUAAAUUCUUUUCAUUAAUUUUGUCUAGCUUUAUCAAGUUUUAUCUAUAUACAGAGUAACUUUAUUAGAGAAAGUGAACAAGAUAUAAUUGAAUUUUGUUUCAGUGUUUAAGCUACUCCUUAAAUCUUUCAACAUUCCCUCGACAUAUCCUAAGUUGAAAUUGAUAUGUUGAGCAUUGUCAUUCCAAUAUGCGAUUGAAUUAAAUUUCUUUGCAGCAGUUGUGAUGUGUGAUUUGCAACUAUUAUUUCUAUCCUGAAUGUCAGUAUUACGUGCUCUUUCUAAACUGACAGAAGAGUGUACAGCCACAUUGUGUUAUCAAUCGUAGUAGCUACCCUUAAAAGAAUACGUAAUAGUCCACUGAUUGAGCGCUCUUGCGUCGAAGAUGAACGGGGCUAAAGAUCUGCCUAAGUUGUGGGAUGUAAAAAUACAUCAGUAGGGGAGCAUUCCACCUUAGAAAGAAGCCUCCGCGCGAGCGGUGAUAGACGAAGCGAAAGAGAGAAUGUCGGCUUAAGUAACACAAACAUUGGUAAGAAUCCAAGGCCCCCAAAAUCUAAGGAUUCCUCCGCAAGGUCCAUCCAUGGAGGGUGAUUCAGGGCCUAAGAUCAUGCCAAAAGGCAUAGUCGAUGGACAACAGAUGAAUAUUUUUGUACCACCCCUUAUUGGUCCUGAGGGUCGUAGGAGGCUAGGUUAGCCGAAAGAUGGUUAUCGGUUCAAGAGCAUAAGGUGUCCCUGCCUUUUUUUAGGGUAAGAAAGGGUAGAGAAAAUGCCCUGAGCCAAUGUUCGAAUACCAAGCGCUAUGACGCAAAAGUAACCCAUUCCAUACUCCCAUGAAAAGUUUGAACGAUUUUGGACAAGAGUGUACCUGUACCCAAAAUCAAAAUAAAUGGAUAAGUAGAGAAUACUUAGGGCCGCGAGACAACUCUCUCUAAGGAACUGGACAAAUUAGCCCCGUAACUUCGGGAGAAGGGGUGCCUCCUCACAAAGAGAGUCUUAGUGACCAGGCCCGGACCACUGUUUACCUAAAACACAGGUCUCCAUAAAGUCGUAAGACUAUGUAUGGGGGAUGAAGCCUUCCUAAUGCCAGAAGGUCAACGAAGUUGGUGACCUGAUGACAGGGAAGCCGAUGAUUGGAACAACAGUCGUAACUAUAACGAUCCUAAGGUAGCAAAAUUUCUUAUCGGAUAAGUUUUGACCCACAUAAAAGGUGUAACGAUUUGGGCACUGUCUCAGAGAGAGGCUCAGUGAAAUACACAUGUCUAUAAAGAUGUAGACUACCUGCACCUAGACUGAAAGAUCCUAUAAAGCUUUACUAUUUCAUGGGAUUGGCUUUGGGCCUUUCCUGCGCAACUUAGGUGGAAGGCAAAAAAGGCCUCCUUCUAAGGUGGGUGGGGAGACGAGGCAUCAAUAAGAUACCACUCUGGAAGAAUUAGAAUUCUAACCUUAUGUCAAGACCAACGGGUCAAGGAAUAGUCUCAGUAGACAAUUUCUAUAGGCAGUAGGCCUCCCAAAAGGUAACGAAGGCAUGCAAAGAUUUCUUUGAACCGGACGAAGAUUGGACCUCGAGUGCAAAGGCAGAAGAGAGCUUAACUCUAAGACCCACCUGCCAAGCAGGGACAAAAGUUGGUCUUAGUGAUCUGAUGAUGCCGAGUGAAAGGAUCGUCACUCAACGGAUAAAAGUUACUCUAUGGAUAACAUGUUGAUCUUCCCCAAGAGCUCACAUUGACGAGAAGUUUUGCCACCUUGAUGUCGGCUAUUCACCACCUAGGGUUGUAGUAUGUUCUAAGGGUUUCACCCAUUAAAGCGGUACGUGAGCUGAGUUUAGAACGUCGUUAGACAGAUUGGGUAUGUGAAUCUUUUUACUAAUUUUGUACUUAAUAAAAUAUCAUGCACAGAAUAAUUUAUUUUUUAUAUACGUUUAUUCUUAAUUAACGGUUAAUACACGUGAAACGCACAUAUCCUAAACUUGUAGAAUAAAAAUAUAUAACUCACAUAUUAUGUGAGCUUUGUAAAAUAAAAAGAAAAAAUGACACUCUAUAGCACUUUUUAAAACAAAUAGCCUAAGUUUGAAAACAUUUCAAAAAAUGGCCAGUCGGAUAUACUAUUUUCGCUUUAUAGCCAUUCCUAUUUUUGGUUAUUUUAGCCUACGUAGUCCAUAUACAGUUCAUAUACAAUACU
rnacentral:rRNA from 1 species